CCAAUAGCGUAUAUUAAAGUUGCUGCAGUUAAAAAGCUCGUAGUUGAAUUUCGGGACUAAUAUGUUGGUCGUGCCUCGGUACGUACUGGUAUUAUUGGUUUCUCCCUUCUGAAGAACCUUGAUGUCAUUAAUUUGGUGUCUUGGGGAAUCAGGACUGUUACUUUGAAAAAAUUAGAGUGUUUAAAGCAGGCUCGCGCUUGAAUACAUUAGCAUGGAAUAAUGAAAUAGGACGUUUGAUUCUAUUUUGUUGGUUUCCAGGAUCGACGUAAUGAUUAAUAGGGAUAGUUGGGGGCAUUAGUAUUCAAUUGUCAGAGGUGAAAUUCUUGGAUUUAUUGAAGACUAACUACUGCGAAAGCAUUUGCCAAGGAUGUUUUCAUUAAUCAAGAACGAAAGUUAGGGGAUCGAAGACGAUCAGAUACCGUCGUAGUCUUAACCAUAAACUAUGCCGACUAGGGAUCGGAUGAUGUUAAUUUUUUAAUGACUCAUUCGGCGCCUUACG
rnacentral:rRNA from 1 species